UGUGCAAAGUAUACCAGUGAAACACAGGGCACAAGUGAGUGUACGUGUGUGAUAUGUCUGACGGGCUCAGGUGAGUGUACGUGUGUGAUAUGUCUGACGGGCUCAGGUGAGUGUACGUGUGUUGUGUGUCUGAUGGAUGCAGCACACCAGUGAAUGUAAUUGUGGGAUGUGUUAGAGGGAAGCAGGGCGCAGGUGAGUGUAUAUGUGUGAUGUGUCUGAGGGAUGCAGGACACACUUGAGUGUAUGUCUGUGAUGCGUCUGAGGGAUGCUGGAUGUGUCUGAAGGAUACAGAUGAGUGUACACGUGUAACAUUCAAAUUUUACAAUUUCCUUGUGCAGUUCUAAAAAAACUGAAAUGUUACCCUAUUUAUAUGAUCUAUGCAGGUGAUGUUAAGACUGAAGUCACACUUGAUGCUGAACAGAGAAAUUAACUAUAUGUAAAGAGUCAACUGGAUGCUGUGAAGCAGGAAAUCAGUGACAAUAUCAGAACAUGCCGUACUGAUGUGACGCCUACAGAUGACUCAGCGGUUGAGCACGGAGGGGAACCGUCUGUGUGUGAUCAGGUGAAGACUGAGGAGGAUGAAGUUCCUAUAAAUAUGGCUACAGCUAAACCUGAUGGGGCUGUAACACGUGUGAGAGAAAAAACAGAAGGGAUCUACACCAAGAGGCGUUUACAGAGCGGAUCAUUUUCCAGCUGGAGAGCCUAUACUUAACAAAUUGUGCAGCACUUACCUCAUUUCGAUUGAGGUAGUUUUUUGUAAGUAGGAAGUUCACCUAUUACCACUGUUUUUUGGGGCACACCAACUUACCUGGACUUUGGAUUCAAGUUUUCUUCACUUGGGAACUUGAGACUGUUCUUAUGUUAUUCUCUUUGGGGACUCUUGGGGGUCUCUUUUAUUGUCUUCUACUAUUGUGAUCGAUCCAUUUGGGGACUAUUACUCU